UGCUGUCAUUAUUACCACAAACACUAAUUGAUAACGAGACCAUGGCGAUCGUGGGUUAUAUCUUGUCUGCUUAUUAGGCCAUGCACCUGUUAGAACUCCGUGUAGCAUGCAUACUGCCAGUUUCCAUAUACCAUCACCAACUAGUUCGCACUUUGGCACUGAAAAAAGUGUUUCUGAGCAUGUGUAGAUAUAACAUAGCCUUAAUGAAAUCUGUGAAAUUAACAAUAAGAAAUUCAGUUUGUAUCUUUACAUGAAAAUGUAUUGUUUGAAAUUAAUCUGCAUUUGUUCAAAUUACAAUAAAAUUAUGUGUUUUUUCAUUUACAUACAUUAUUUAGUUACCCCAGUCGAUCUUCUCAAGUACAAACACUCAACAAACAAAAAGCUUGUUUCAUUUACGCUGUUUCGUACUCCCGCCAACUGGCACGCAUCUGUUGAAAAGAGCAGAGGACCACCGCAUUUCCAGAGGCUGGGUUUAUGAUUGAGUCCACUGAACGUUAAGAUCGAGAAGGAAUUCUGCAGGAUCACACUGAAGCUAUUGCAGUCCACAUUCCUGGGCAAGUUGGACCAACACACACCCAAGCUGUUGCCUGUACAGGAGGAAGGGUGGAGCCGUUGGGAAGAAACUUGAUGAGACCCUUGACAUGUUAAAUGAGGCAUGUAUUUACAACAGUGUGGUAGUAAUUAGUUGACGACACAAUUGAGUCGCGAAGAGAAGUUGUGAUCAGAGGACUCACACUCUACCUUGGUGAAUACACUGGAGAGUUAAUGAAGGACUACCAGGUUAUUAAUGACGACGAUGCUGCGACCAUCCAAGAAGCUAUUACUACAUUUGCCCUCGGCAUCUUUGUUGUCAGCAAAGCCAGGGAUGGUCUCCCCAAGCAAGCUGGAAUAGCCAUCGAGGGACCUUUUUGGUAUCCCAGAUGUGGCACAUGCUUGCACCUAUCUGAUGGGCCUUAUCUAUGCCUUGGAACUGAGGUACCCUAAUAAACUGAAAUACACGUUUGAGGUCUUUCAGAAGAUCUUCCUAGAGCUAGAGAAUGCAAACCAAAAACUGUCCUCCAAAGUCCAUGAUCUCAAGGUCUGUUUUGCAAGCUUAAAAUCUAUACAGAUGGUGUAUACAGUAGAAUGUAUUUUGAUUUGUUUGUAAUAGAAUGUAUUUUGAUUUGUUUUUUUGGCUUUUGUCAAAUAAAUUUAUUUAUUUGAGCUAAAUGACUUCCAAGUCUUGUUUUGGGUUAAGAUGCAUAAUUAUAUCUGAGAUUGUUUGACUCAUGUGGGUUGCUAAGUUUCCAGUGUUGGGCUGCAACCAAUUAAUUAAUCUGUCGAUAGUCUUGAUAAAUUGAUUUGUGGAUUCGUCCAUACAAUGUAAGGAAAUGGUGAAAAAUCGAUCACUCUUUCCCAAAGCCCAAGCUGCAACCUAAAAUGUCUUGUUUUGUCCUGAUCACCAGUUCUCAAUUUAAAACA